CCUACGGGUGGCUGCAGUGGGGAAUAUUCCGCAAUGGGCGAAAGCCUGACGCAGCGACGCCGCAUGAGCGAUGAAGGUCUUCGGAUCGUAAAGCUCUGUCAGCAGGGAAGAACGUUCACUGUGCUAAUUAGCUGUGGACUGACGGUACCUGCUCAGGAAGCACCGGCUAACUCCGUGCCAGCAGCCGCGGUAAUACGGAGGUCGCGAGCGUUAACCGGAAUUAUUGGUGGUAAAGCGUUCGUAGGCGGAUUUGCAAGUCAGGGGUGAAAUCCCGGGGAUAAACGGGGAACCGCCUUUGAAACUGGCAAACUAGAGUGUGAGAGAGGUUAGUGGAAUUCCAGGUGUAGGAGUGAAAUCCGUAGAUAUCUGGAGGAACAUCAGUGGCGAAGGCAACUUUCUGGCACAUAACUGACGCUGAGGGGCGAAAGCGUGGGUAGCAAACAGGAUUAGAUACCCGUGUAGUC
rnacentral:rRNA from 1 species